GCAACAGCUCAAAUUUGAAAUCUGGCUCCCCUUGGGUCCGAGUUGUAAUUUGGAGAGGAUGUUUCUGGCGCGGCGCCUACCGGAGUUCCUUGGAACAGGACGCCACAGAGGGUGAGAGCCCCGUACGGUUGGCCGCCUAGCCUGCACGAAACUCCUUCGACGAGUCGAGUAGUUUGGGAAUGCUGCUCAAAAUGGGAGGUAAAUUUCUUCUAAAGCUAAAUACCGGCCAGAGACCGAUAGCGCACAA
rnacentral:rRNA from 1 species